rnacentral:rRNA from 1 species
AAAUUGAAGAGUUUGAUCAUGGCUCAGAUUGAACGCUGGCGGCAGGCCUAACACAUGCAAGUCGAACGGUAACAGGAAGAAGCUUGCUUCUUUGCUGACGAGUGGCGGACGGGUGAGUAAUGUCUGGGAAACUGCCUGACGGAGGGGGAUAACUACUGGAAACGGUAGCUAAUACCGCAUAACGUCGCAAGACCAAAGAGGGGGACCUUCGGGCCUCUUGCCAUCGGAUGUGCCCAGAUGGGAUUAGCUAGUAGGUGGGGUAACGGCUCACCUAGGCGACGAUCCCUAGCUGGUCUGAGAGGAUGACCAGCCACACUGGAACUGAGACACGGUCCAGACUCCUACGGGAGGCAGCAGUGGGGAAUAUUGCACAAUGGGCGCAAGCCUGAUGCAGCCAUGCCGCGUGUAUGAAGAAGGCCUUCGGGUUGUAAAGUACUUUCAGCGGGGAGGAAGGGAGUAAAGUUAAUACCUUUGCUCAUUGACGUUACCCGCAGAAGAAGCACCGGCUAACUCCGUGCCAGCAGCCGCGGUAAUACGGAGGGUGCAAGCGUUAAUCGGAAUUACUGGGCGUAAAGCGCACGCAGGCGGUUUGUUAAGUCAGAUGUGAAAUCCCCGGGCUCAACCUGGGAACUGCAUCUGAUACUGGCAAGCUUGAGUCUCGUAGAGGGGGGUAGAAUUCCAGGUGUAGCGGUGAAAUGCGUAGAGAUCUGGAGGAAUACCGGUGGCGAAGGCGGCCCCCUGGACGAAGACUGACGCUCAGGUGCGAAAGCGUGGGGAGCAAACAGGAUUAGAUACCCUGGUAGUCCACGCCGUAAACGAUGUCGACUUGGAGGUUGUGCCCUUGAGGCGUGGCUUCCGGAGCUAACGCGUUAAGUCGACCGCCUGGGGAGUACGGCCGCAAGGUUAAAACUCAAAUGAAUUGACGGGGGCCCGCACAAGCGGUGGAGCAUGUGGUUUAAUUCGAUGCAACGCGAAGAACCUUACCUGGUCUUGACAUCCACGGAAGUUUUCAGAGAUGAGAAUGUGCCUUCGGGAACCGUGAGACAGGUGCUGCAUGGCUGUCGUCAGCUCGUGUUGUGAAAUGUUGGGUUAAGUCCCGCAACGAGCGCAACCCUUAUCCUUUGUUGCCAGCGGUCCGGCCGGGAACUCAAAGGAGACUGCCAGUGAUAAACUGGAGGAAGGUGGGGAUGACGUCAAGUCAUCAUGGCCCUUACGACCAGGGCUACACACGUGCUACAAUGGCGCAUACAAAGAGAAGCGACCUCGCGAGAGCAAGCGGACCUCAUAAAGUGCGUCGUAGUCCGGAUUGGAGUCUGCAACUCGACUCCAUGAAGUCGGAAUCGCUAGUAAUCGUGGAUCAGAAUGCCACGGUGAAUACGUUCCCGGGCCUUGUACACACCGCCCGUCACACCAUGGGAGUGGGUUGCAAAAGAAGUAGGUAGCUUAACCUUCGGGAGGGCGCUUACCACUUUGUGAUUCAUGACUGGGGUGAAGUCGUAACAAGGUAACCGUAGGGGAACCUGCGGUUGGAUCACCUCCUUACCUUAAAGAA